rnacentral:lncRNA from 1 species
AAUUUCUAAUAUUUUGUAACAGCAAAUUUUAAUAACACAAAAAAUCCGUAUGUUCAUGCCAGUACCGAAGUACUGGCUACUGGGCUGGUGAUACCCUCGGGGACUAAUAGUCUACCAGCAGAGGCAUCGACCCAGUGGUAGUAAUAAAAUUAACGGUACCAAUUUUCUUGCACCAGAUGCGCAUUUCGACAAUACAUGUCUCUUCAGUGAUGCUCGUGGCCAAAAUAUUUGAAAUCCAAAGCUUAUAUAAAAGAUG